rnacentral:lncRNA from 1 species
UUAAAGCUUCAAUUUGGGGUUAUGAAAAUGUUGGGGCUAAUAUGUAAUUUUCCACUAUUUAUUUAAAGGGUAUUUAUACCUUUUCAGGUCAAAUUAUGCACCCCAGCCGCACAACGUGCGCGUGCAGAACACGAAAAUAUGUUAGGGGCCUUAUUGACUUUGACUAACUUUCAUAGGGGGGUCCUUGCUAAUUUUUUUAA